rnacentral:misc_RNA from 1 species
UCCGAGUUGUCCCCGGCAGUCCCCUUAGAGUCCCCGGCAUUACCCGCUGGCAACUAAGAGCAGGGGUUGCGCUCGUUGCGGCACUUAAGCCAACAUCUCACGACGCGAGCUGACGACAGCCAUGCACCACCUGUGACGGCGCCCCGAAGGGGGCUCCUAUUUCUAGGAGUUGCACCGACAUGUCAAGCCCAGGUAAGGUUCUUCGCGUUGCGUCGAAUUGAACCACAUGCUCCGCUGCUUGUGCGGGCCCCCGUCAAUUCCUUUGAGUUUUAGCCUUGCGGCCGUACUCCCCAGGCGGGGCACUUAAUGCGUUAGCUGCGACACGGACGGAGUCGACACCGCCCACAUCUAGUGCCCAUCGUUUACGGCGUGGACUAC